rnacentral:siRNA from 1 species
UUCUUUUUUCACCUACCUCCA